GACAAUUAAAUUCAGUGCUUAAGGUGUAAGAUCACUGGGCAUUGUGAUAAAAUGUAUGCAUCGGAUUUGGUUUUCGAUGAGUGUAGAAGGAAAGUAUAAAUUAUCUUUGAUCAUGAUAAGAGAGGUUUGACCUAAGAUAAGUGUAGGAAGGUCCACAAUGGCAUAUCAGUUAUACCAUAUUCGGAUAUUAUUUAAAUAACCUGCAAGUUCAAAUUUGAUAUGGGUUUUGAUAUGAUCGUACUUUUGGUUUUGCUGCUAAUUAUUAGAGUGGGUUUUGUACGUAGAUCUUCUAUAGUAUUGGAGUGAGCUAAGAAGAUUUCAUAAUAUUGAAAGGAAUGUUCUUCGAAGUUGAAUAUGUAUGUGGUAUUGGCAUGUUUGGAUAUUACAAAUAGGUCUAUUUU
rnacentral:lncRNA from 1 species